AGUUAAACAUCUGUGUGGCUAUAAAUGAGCAUGUUGUGCUGCGGUGAUGAAUCUUGGAACUCUCUCUUACUGAAUCAGCGUUUUGAAGAAGCUUCUUUACCAGAUUCUGAGCAGCAUGAACGCUCCAACCUAAUUGUGCUGUAAUGGCUCUUAAAACACUUUUAUAAGACAAUGACUGUGGUUUAAAGUUAAGGGCAGUGAUUGAAUUGACAAAUCUCUAGUUCUAAUUUCUUGAGGGUUCAAAUACAGAUCUCAUUAACCAAGAUAUUUUUUUUUUUUUCUGUGUAGGUCCUCUGAUGUGAACCCCGCAGUGUUCAGAGUGGCUUAAAUUCAGAGGCUAAAGUUGGAGUUGUUUCAGAAGGAAGUGAUGCCAAAUCCGCAUGGUCUUCCACCAAAUGCUUGGGGAGGAAGGAAGUCGAGAAAGUUUCAAGGUGACUUGAUGACUGCUUCAGCAGCUCAUGGAGGCUUUCCGGUUUGAAGGUAGCUGAAGUUUGGACUCCAGAUGCUGCCAUCACCAUCCCAGCUGUUUGUCCAGGUGGGUGAACUCUGUAGCUUCGUUUUAGUGCUCAUCUAGACUUCUUUAUGUAGG